UACGUAGGGUGCAAGCGUUAAUCGGAAUUACUGGGCGUAAAGCGUGCGCAGGCGGUUAUAUAAGUCAGAUGUGAAAUCCCCGGGCUCAACCUGGGAAUGGCGUCUGUGACUGUAUGACUAGAGUGUGUCAGAGGGGGGUAGAAUUCCACGUGUAGCAGUGAAAUGCGUAGAUAUGUGGAGGAAUACCAAUGGCGAAGGCAGCCCCCUGGGAUAACACUGACGCUCAUGCACGAAAGCGUGGGGAGCAAACAGG
rnacentral:rRNA from 1 species